rnacentral:rRNA from 1 species
AUAUCAAUAAGCGGAGGAGAAGAAACUAACAAGGAUUCCCCUAGUAACUGCGAGUGAAGCGGGAAAAGCUCAAAUUUAAAAUCUGGUGGUCUUUGGCCAUCCGAGUUGUAAUUUAGAGAAGCGUCUUCCGCGCUGGACCGUGCAUAAGUCUCCUGGAAUGGAGCGUCAUAGAGGGUGAGAAUCCCGUCUUUGGCACGGACCCCAGGGCUUCUGUGAUGCGCUCUCAAAGAGUCGAGUUGUUUGGGAAUGCAGCUCAUAACGGGAGGAUCGAACUACCAU